rnacentral:lncRNA from 1 species
GAGCAUUCACUGGAGAGGUUUUGUGAGAAAUUAAAAAGAGAGAGUCCGUAGAGAGACACACGAGUGGAGAGAAAGGAAAAUAUUAAAAAAGGAGAUGAAUAGAGAGUCUGUCAGAGAAAAAACCAAAAAGAAGACGUGAGGAGAGAGGGAGAGGGAGAGAAAAAAUAAAAAAAGAAAAGAAAAGGAAAAGGCGUGCACUGUGCUUCUUCUUCGUGGGUUCUUUCUCCACAAAAGCCGCACGCCGUUCCGCUGCUGCCC